GUUCUGGCCGGCUCAUGGUGCUGGCGGGAUGGAGGCAGGGAGAAAGGGGUAGAGGACGAGACUGCCGUGGCGUGGGGGCUCCAGGCGAGGUGCCGGGGGGAGAGCAGCACGGAGCGUGCGUAUCUACGCCAGUGCCCUGGCUGAAGAUCCCAGAUGGGGCACUGCAGCAAGCGGCUCAUUUAUAUAUCUCAGCCCUCGGAAAUGGCGUCAGGAGGAAGCCACCUCCUCCUCUACCCCCUCCCCUCGCACACAGGCUUCCCAUCAGCCUCCAUCGCUCGCCGGGUGUCGGAGGAGCCCCGACCUCCCGGGCUGCCCGUGCAAGGGUGUCCGGCUCUGGUUGCUCCAUCUGCUCCCAUUGCAGGCGCAGGAAGGCUGGCAGGUGUUUCCAGGACACUGCUUUUCCAGCAUCUCACCCGACACUGGCAAUCUGCAGCACCUCUGCACAUGUGCCCUCUCUCUGUGUACCUGGAGCCAAACGUGAGGCACCUCAUGUGUCCCGGCCAGCACUGCAAUCUGUAGAUGGUUUUGCCCUCUCAGGACCUCCUUGUCUUUCACUGAUCAUGGAAGUUUAGAACAGGUGCUGAAAUUUUUAGAUGUCUUUUAAAGACCACCACUCCAGCGAACCAUGAAAAGGGCUUGCUAAUGGACAUGGUGAGGUCUUGCAUCCAUUAAAUUCAUUGCAAAGGAGAAGCUAAGUGCUUUCCAGCUGCACAAUUUCUGGUGCAUGAAGUGCUGUUGGGACUGUGGAGAGCCAUAGACCAUGACCUGUCUGCAGUUACCAACACAACAUGUGUAGAUGGACAAAGAGAUAUUUGCCUUCCCAGCCUGAAAGUGAUUUGAGAAGAUGGCAGUGUCCUGAUGGACGGAGGCAGCCACCCUGGACUGUUGCAUUAUCCAUGCUCUGAGCUGAGGGAACAGGAGGGUCAGCUUAAAAGCCAUAUUGAUAUAUGAUCUUUCUAUGCAUAAGGUCAUUUGAUUGAGAGAUUAUGUGGCUUAAGUGCAAUUCUCAAGAAUAAAAUAUUUUUUACUUUAUUUCAGAAUUCAGGAAAUUAAUCCAAAGGAUCUUGUAUUUGUGAGUUACUCUAAAAGCUUUGUUGUCUAAUUUGUUGGCUGAAACUGGGUUAAGAAUUCGCUCCUCUUCUGUGCUUGGAAACACUGACACUGCAUUUCAAACAGCUGUGAUUUUACAGAUCCAGAUACUGAGGCCCAUAAAGAGGGAAAGUGUCAUUUUCAUGAAGAUAUCAAAAAGAUUUGAAGCCAAGGCACAGCUAAUACCACAUCCUAACCAAAAGGACACAAAGCAAAAAAUAGGCAACAAUUACCUUCUUGUAUAUAAAAUCAAUUGAUAACUGUUUGACUGAAAAACUUGAAUGUAAGCUCAUUGCAAAAUUACUAACAAAGUCUAUUAAAAGCUCCACAUCACAUCUUUUCUUCAUUCCCACCGUAGUCAGUCACACUCAGCUCUCAGUUCCCUCAUACAAGCCUUGCUUGUCUGCCUGUAAAUAGAAGUAAGCUUCAAAGCUCAGAUUGCUGCUGUGAAUACUCAUCUGGCUGCUCAAAGGCAGUCCUCUCUUCUUUUUCAGGUCAGAGGCAAAAUGAUGUUGACUUGCUUUGAUUUUCUUAGUCUAGACUAUCCUUGCACCAACCUGAAAUGAAUUUAUUUUCCUGUUGAAAG